rnacentral:rRNA from 1 species
CCUACGGGAGGCAGCAGUGGGGAAUAUUGGGCAAUGGAGGCAACUCUUACCCAGCAAUGCCGCGUGAAUGAAGAAGGUCUUCGGAUUGUAAAGUUCUUUAAUUGGGGACGAAAAAAAUGACGGUACCCAAGGAAUAAGCCUCGGCUAACUACGUGCCAGCAGCCGCGGUAAUACGUCAGGGGCAGGCGUUGGUAGGAAUGACUGGGGGUAAAGGGUGUCUAAGCGGUGUAGGUAGGUAGAAGUUGAAUGCCUGGGGCUUAACCCAGGUGCUGCUGCUAAAACUGCUAGGCUUGAGUACGUUAGAGGAAGGCGGAAUGCGUGGUGUAGCGGUGAAAUGCGUAGAUAUCACGCAGAACACCGAUUGCGAAGGCAGCCUGCCAAGCCAUGACUGACGCUGAGGCACGAAAGCGUGGGGAUCAAACAGGAUUAGAUACCCCUGUAGUC